rfam:Hymenolepis microstoma genomic scaffold, pathogens_HYM_contig_0045
GUGGGCUAUGGUGAUAUGCGACCUGUAACAGUAGGUGGGAAGUUAGUUGGUUCUUUGUGCGCCAUUGCUGGUGUCCUGACCAUUGCUCUUCCAGUGCCUGUCAUUGUUUCAAAC